rnacentral:rRNA from 1 species
AUGCAGUCGAGCGAAUGGAUUAAGAGCUUGCUCUUAUGAAGUUAGCGGCGGCACGGGUGAGUAACACGUGGGUAACCUGCCCAUAAGACUGGGAUAACUCCGGGAAACCGGGGCUAAUACCGGAUAACAUUUUGAACCGCAUGGUUCGAAAUUGAAAGGCGGCUUCGGCUGUCACUUAUGGAUGGACCCGCGUCGCAUUAGCUAGUUGGUGAGGUAACGGCUCACCAAGGCAACGAUGCGUAGCCGACCUGAGAGGGUGAUCGGCCACACUGGGACUGAGACACGGCCCAGACUCCUACGGGAGGCAGCAGUAGGGAAUCUUCCGCAAUGGACGAAAGUCUGACGGAGCAACGCCGCGUGAGUGAUGAAGGCUUUCGGGUCGUAAAACUCUGUUGUUAGGGAAGAACAAGUGCUAGUUGAAUAAGCUGGCACCUUGACGGUACCUAACCAGAACGCCACGGCUAACUACGUGCCAGCAGCCGCGGUAAUACGUAGGUGGCAAGCGUUAUCCGGAAUUAUUGGGCGUAAA